ACGCUCGACACCUACGAGAGGCAGCAGUGGGGAAUAUUGCACAAUGGGGGAAACCCUGAUGCAGCGACGCCGCGUGAGCGAAGAAGUAUUUCGGUAUGUAAAGCUCUAUCAGCAGGGAAGAUAAUGACGGUACCUGACUAAGAAGCUCCGGCUAAAUACGUGCCAGUAGCCGCGGUAAUCUGAGCGGGCUGGCAAGGC
rnacentral:rRNA from 1 species